GACGAACGCUGGCGGCGUGCUUAACACAUGCAAGUCGAACGGAAAGGCCCUGCUUUUGUGGGGUGCUCGAGUGGCGAACGGGUGAGUAACACGUGAGUAACCUGCCCUUGACUUUGGGAUAACUUCAUGAAACUGGGGCUAAUACCGGAUAGGAGCUCCUGCUGCAUGGUGGGGGUUGGAAAGUUUCGGCGGUUGGGGAUGGACUCGCGGCUUAUCAGCUUGUUGGUGGGGUAGUGGCUUACCAAGGCUUUGACGGGUAGCCGGCCUGAGAGGGUGACCGGCAACAUUGGGACUGAGAUACGGACCAGACUCCUACGGGAGGCAGAAGUGGGGAAUAUUGCACAAUGGGCGGAAGCAUGAUGCAGAAACGCCGCGUGCGGGAUGACGGCCUACGGGUUGUAAACCGCUUUCGCCUGUGACGAAGCGUGAGUGACGGUAAUGGGUAAAGAAGCACCGGCUAACUACGUG
rnacentral:rRNA from 1 species